rnacentral:rRNA from 1 species
ACGCACUGCGACCCCA